UACGUAGGGGGCGAGCGUUAUCCGGAAUUAUUGGGCGUAAAGGGUGCGUAGGCGGCCUUUUAAGUCAGAUGUGAAAGGCUACGGCUUAACCGUAGUUAGCAUUUGAAACUAAAAGGCUUGAGUGCAGGAGAGGAGAGUGGAAUUCCUAGUGUAGCGGUGAAAUGCGUAGAUAUUAGGAGGAACACCAGUGGCGAAGGCGACUCUCUGGACUGCAACUGACGCUGAGGCACGAAAGCGUGGGGAGCGAACAGG
rnacentral:rRNA from 1 species